rnacentral:rRNA from 1 species
AGGGCGCGUAGGCGGAUUAUCAAGUCUCUUGUGAAAUCUAAUGGCUUAACCAUUAAACUGCUUGGGAAACUGAUAGUCUAGAGUGAGGGAGAGGCAGAUGGAAUUGGUGGUGUAGGGGUAAAAUCCGUAGAUAUCACCAAGAAUACCCAUUGCGAAGGCGAUCUGCUGGAACUCAACUGACGCUAAGGCGCGAAAGCGUGGGGAGCAAACAGGAUUAGAUACCCUGGUAGUCCACGCCCUAAACGAUGUACACUAGUUGUUGGGAUGCUAGUCAUCUCAGUAAUGCAGCUAACGCAUUAAGUGUACCGCCUGGGGAGUACGGUCGCAAGAUUAAAACUCAAAGGAAUAGACGGGGACCCGCACAAGCGGUGGAGCAUGUGGUUUAAUUCGAAGAUACGCGAAGAACCUUACCUGGGCUUGAUAUCCUAAGAACCUUUUAGAGAUAAGAGGGUGCUAGCUUGCUAGAACUUAGAGACAGGUGCUGCACGGCUGUCGUCAGCUCGUGUCGUGAGAUGUUGGGUUAAGUCCCGCAACGAGCGCAACCCACGUAUUUAGUUGCUAACGGUUCGGCCGAGCACUCUAAAUAGACUGCCUUCGUAAGGAGGAGGAAGGUGUGGACGACGUCAAGUCAUCAUGGCCCUUAUGCCCAGGGCGACACACGUGCUACAAUGGCAUAUACAAUGAGACGCAAUACCGCGAGGUGGAGCAAAUCUAUAAAAUAUGUCCCAGUUCGGAUUGUUCUCUGCAACUCGAGAGCAUGAAGCCGGAAUCGCUAGUAAUCGUAGAUCAGCCAUGCUACGGUGAAUACGUUCCCGGGU